AUCCAGCUGACGAGUCCCAAAUAGGACGAAACGCGCGUCCUAGAG
rfam:Schistosoma haematobium scaffold347_53, whole genome shotgun sequence.